rnacentral:rRNA from 1 species
AUACGGAGGAUCCGAGCGUUAUCCGGAUUUAUUGGGUUUAAAGGGUGCGCAGGCGGCCAUUUAAGUCAGCGGUUAAAUCGUGGGGCUCAACCCCAUUCUGCCGUUGAUACUGGGUGGCUUGAUUGCGGUCGAGGUUGGCGGAAUUCGUUGUGUAGCGGGGUAAUGCUUAGAUAUCACGAAGAACUCCGAUUGCGAAGGCAGCCUGCUGGACUGUAACUGACGCUGAUGCUCGAAAGUGUGGGUAUCAAACAGGAUUAGAUACCCUGGUAGUCCACACAGUAAACGAUGAAUACUCGCUGUUUGCGAUAUACAGUAAGCGGCCAAGCGAAAGCGUUAAGUAUUCCACCUGGGGAGUACGCCGGCAACGGUGAAACUCAAAUGAAUUGGCGGGG